rnacentral:rRNA from 1 species
AUUGAACGCUGGCGGCAUGCCUUACACAUGCAAGUCGAACGGCAGCACGGGGGCAACCCUGGUGGCGAGUGGCGAACGGGUGAGUAAUACAUCGGAACGUGUCCUGUAGCGGGGGAUAACCUCUCGAAAGAGAGGCUAAUACCGCAUACGACCUACGGGUGAAAGAGGGGGAUCGCAAGACCUCUCACUAUAGGAGCGGCCGAUGUCGGAUUAGCUAGUUGGUGGGGAAAAGCCUACCAAGGCUACGAUCCGUAGCUGGUCUGAGAGGACGACCAGCCACACUGGAACUGAGACACGGUCCAGACUCCUACGGGAGGCAGCAGUGGGGAAUUUUGGACAAUGGGCGCAAGCCUGAUCCAGCCAUGCCGCGUGGGUGAAGAAGGCCUGGUGUAAG